rnacentral:rRNA from 1 species
CUANGUGGGGCAGCAGGCGCGAAAACUCUACAAUGCACGAAAGUGCGAUAGGGGAAUCCUAAGUGCUUAUGAUUUUAUCAUAGGCUUUUUUCAAGAGUAAGUAUCUUGGAGAAUAAGUGGUGGGUAAGACGGGUGCCAGCCGCCGCGGUAACACCUGCGCCACAAGUGGCAAUCUCUAUUAUUGGGCCUAAAGCGUUCGUAGCCGGAUUUGUAAGUCCUUUGUGAAAUCAUCGUCAUAAAAGCGAUGGCACGCGAAGAAUACUGCAAGUCUAGAAACCGGGAAGAGUAAGAGGUAUUCUGGGGGGAGCGGUAAAAUGUUAUAAUCCUCAGAGGACCACCUAUGGCGAAGGCAUCUUACUAGAACGGAUUUGACGGUGAGGAACGAAAGCUAGGGGAGCGAUCCGGAUUAGAUACCCCGNUANUC